rnacentral:rRNA from 1 species
UGAGGAAUAUUGCGCAAUGGGCGAAAGCCUGACGCAGCGACACCGCGUGAAGGAUGAAGGUCUUAGGAUUGUAAACUUCUGUUAAGUGAGAAGAAAGAGUCGCCUCUAAUAUGGGCGAAAGAUGACGUUAUCACUAAAGAAAGCACCGGCUAAUCUCGUGCCAGCAGCCGCGGUAAUACGAGAGGUGCAAGCGUUAUUCGGAAUCAUUGGGCGUAAAGGGUGCGUAGACGGUUUGUUAAGUCUUUUGUUUAAGACCCCGGCCUAACUGGGGAAAAGCAGGAGAUACUGAUAGACUAGAGGAUGGAAGAGAGAAGUGGAAUUAUCGGAGUAGCGGUUAAAUGCGUAGAUCUCGAUAGGAACACCGAUGGCGAAAGCAGCUUCUUGGUCCAUAUCUGACGUU